GAUGAACGCUAGCGGCAGGCCUAAUACAUGCAAGUCGAACGGUGUCUUCGGACAUAGUGGCGCACGGGUGCGUAACACGUAUGCAACCUACCUUACAUUGGGGGAUAGCCUCUCGAAAGGGAGAUUAAUACCGCAUAAGACAGUAGCUGGGCAUCCACCAGCUGUUAAAGAUUUAUCGAUGUAAGCUGGGCAUGCGUCCAAUUAGCUAGUUGGUGAGGUAACGGCUCACCAAGGCAAUGAUUGGUAGGGGAACUGAGAGGUCAAUCCCCCACACUGGCACGGAGUUACGGGCCAGACUCCUACGGGAGGCAGCAGUAGGGAAUAUUGGGCAAUGGACGCAAGUCUGACCCAGCCAUGCCGCGUGCAGGAUGAAGGCGUUAUGCGUUGUAAACUGCUUUUAUACAGGAAGAAACGACUCUUGCGAGAGGCAUUGACGGUACUGUAUGAAUAAGCACCGGCUAACUCCGUGCCAGCCGCCGCCGUAAAAC
rnacentral:rRNA from 1 species